AAAGUCGUAACAAGGUUUCCGUAGGUGAACCUGCGGAAGGAUCAUUAACACGUAUCUUAAAACAAUACGUUUUAACCCCCUUUUUUUCAAUUCAUUUUGAAAAACCCCCUAAACUGUAUCUUUCUAAAACAAUAGUCGUUCCUAUAUUGGGAGUGACUCUAAAACAACUUAAAAAAAGAACAACUCUUAACAACGGAUAUCUUGGUUCUC
rnacentral:misc_RNA from 1 species